rnacentral:rRNA from 1 species
GGCUCAGGAUGAACGCUGGCGGCGUGCCUAAUACAUGCAAGUCGAACGGUCGACUUCGGUCGAUAGUGGCGAACGGGUGAGUAACGCGUUGGUGACCUGCCCCAGAGCGCGGGAUACCAGGCCGAAAGGCCUGCUAAUACCGCAUGAAGUCGCGACAGAUUAGAAGGUGGCGAAGAAAGGAGAAAUUCGCUCUGGGAGGGGCCUGCGUCCCAUCAGCUGGUUGGUAAGGUAACGGCUUACCAAGGCGAUGACGGGUAGGGGACCUGAGAGGGUGACCCCCCACAAUGGAACUGAAACACGGUCCAUACACCUACUGGUGGCAGCAGUAGGGGAUAUUGGUGAAUGGGCGAAAGCCUGAACCAGCAACGCCGCGUGUGCGAUGAAGGCCUUCGGGUUGUAAAGCACUUUUUACCGGGAAGAGGAAGGACGGUACCGGUAGAAUCAGCCUCGGCUAACUACGUGCCAGCAGCCGCGGUAAAACGUAGGAGGCGAGCGUUAUCCGGAUUUACUGGGUGUAAAGCGCGUGCAGGCGGUCGGAUAAGUUGGGUGUGAAAGCUCCUGGCUCAACUGGGAGAGGUCGCUCAAGACUGUCGGACUGGAGCGUGGUAGGGGAAGGCGGAAUUCCGGGUGUAGUGGUGAAAUGCGUAGAUAUCCGGAGGAACACCAGUGGCGAAAGCGGCCUUCUGGACCAUGACUGACGCUCAGACGCGAAAGCUAGGGGAGCAAACGGGAUUAGAGACCCCGGUAGUCCUAGCCGUAAACGAUGUGAACUUGGCGGCGGACGGGUAAAACUGUUCGCUGCCGCAGCCAACGCGAUAAGUUCACCACCUGGGGACUACGGCCGCAAGGGUAAAACU